GACGUAGGGGACGAGCGUUGUCCGGAGUUACUGGGCGUAAAGCGCCCGCAGGCGGUCGGCCAAGUUGCCGCUGACAGCGUCUGGCUCAACUGGACGAGGCGUGGCAAAACUGGCCGACUUGAGGACCAGAGAGGGACCCGGAACUCCAGGUGGAGCGGUGAAAUGCGUAGAGAUCUGGAAGAACACCCAUGGCACAGGCAGGGUCCUGGCUGGCGCCUGACGCUCAGGGGCGAAAGCGAGGGGAG
rnacentral:rRNA from 1 species